rnacentral:rRNA from 1 species
UACGAAGGGGGCUAGCGUUGUUCGGAUUUACUGGGCGUAAAGCGCACGUAGGCGGAUCGAUCAGUCAGGGGUGAAAUCCCAGAGCUCAACUCUGGAACUGCCUUUGAUACUGUCGAUCUGGAGUAUGGAAGAGGUGAGUGGAAUUCCGAGUGUAGAGGUGAAAUUCGUAGAUAUUCAGAGGAACACCAGUGGCGAAGGCGGCUUACUGGUCCGGUUCUGACGCUGAGGCGCGAAAGCGUGGGGAGCAAACAGG